rnacentral:rRNA from 1 species
UAGGGAAUCUUCCGCAAUGGGCGAAAGCCUGACGGAGCAACGCCGCGUGAGUGAUGAAGGUCUUCGGAUCGUAAAACUCUGUUAUUAGGGAAGAACAAAUGUGUAAGUAACUAUGCACAUCUUGACGGUACCUAAUCAGAAAGCCACGGCUAACUACGUGCCAGCAGCCGCGGUAAUACGUAGGUGGCAAGCGUUAUCCGGAAUUAUUGGGCGUAAAGAGCUUGUAGGCGGUUCGUCGCGUCUGGUGUGAAAGCCCAUCGCUUAACGGUGGGUUUGCGCCGGGUACGGGCGGGCUAGAGUGCAGUAGGGGAGACUGGAAUUCCCGGUGUAACGGUGGAAUGUGUAGAUAUCGGGAAGAACACCAAUGGCGAAAGCGGCUCUCUGGUCUGUAACUGACGCUGAGGCUCGAAAGCGUGGGUAGCAAACAGG